rnacentral:rRNA from 1 species
AAACUGUGAGCAAGGUGGGGAUUACGCCAAAUUAUCUAGGUCUUUACGUCCUGGGCCACACAGGUGCUACAAUGGAGGGAACAGAGGGCAGCCAGUUUGCAAGAAGGGGGGAAUAUAUUACACCGGUGUCAUUUCGGAUUGGAGUCUGAAACUCGAUUCCUUGAAGCUGGAAUUGCUAGUAAUCGAAUAUCAGCCUAUGAUUCGGAAAAUAGGUCGGUUGUCAUAGAUCACACCCCUCGUCAAACCAUGGAAUCUGGGAGUGCCCCAAGUCGGUAACCGCAAGGACCCGCAUAUGGUAAAACUAGUAAUUGGGGGUAAGUCGUAACAAGGUAGC